rnacentral:rRNA from 1 species
AUUGAACGCUGGCGGCAGGCCUAACACAUGCAAGUCGAACGAGUGGCGGACGGGUGAGUAAUGUCUGGGAAACUGCCCGAUGGAGGGGGAUAACUACUGGAAACGGUAGCUAAUACCGCAUACCAUCGGAUUGGCCCAUAUGGGAUUAGCUAGUAGGUGGGGUAACGGCUCACCUAGGGGACGAUCCCUAGCUGGUCUGAGAGGCUGACCCGCCUCACUGGGACUGAGACACGGUCCAGACUCCUACGGGAGGCAGCAGUGGGGAAUAUUGCACAAUGGGCGCAAGCCUGAUGCAGCCAUGCGGCGUGUAUGAAGAAGGCCUUCGGGUUGUAAAGUACUUUCAGCGAGGAGGCGUUACUCGCAGAAGAAGCACCGGCUAACUCCGUGCCAGCAGCCGCGGUAAUUC